UCACAGGUGCAGCUGUAAAAAGGAAAACAACAAAAAAGAAAAGCACAGCUGUACUCAAUCGGAAACUCUGGGCGUGGCGCCCAGCAAUGGUCGCUUGAAUGGGAUCCUGACACAGGGAAGGUGGGCAGAGGAUUUUAAGGAAAGCUUAGCUGACGUGCUGGCCCUCGAUAAAGCCGCUUGUGGCCCAGACUGUCACCCGGAGCAUGCCCAGCCCUCGGUAGCCCUGGGCCCACAAGCCCUGACCAUGACCCAAGGAUUUCUGGAAUGCAUCAGUAGGUCAUCGCGUGCCCAGAACCACAGUUUUCCUGAAACCAGAAAGCUUCGUCUCUCCCGAAGACCAAAGAGAUACAGCACAAGCCGCAUCGCAUCAUCACCCCUCCCAAGCGACCACCCUGGCUGGAAGGCCAUCGCACUCUUCCCUUCCAGAAAACAGGCCACAUUGUAGUGACCCCAAAGGACCACCCAGUGUAGACCUGUCUGCGCAAAGGUGAUCCGGAAAAUCCAGGACUAGGGACGAGGCAGAAGGGUAUGGGAAAGCCGAGACAGGAAACCAGAAGAAACACGUCCUUGCUCUCAAGAGGUAAAAAUGCGGAAGGAAAUGGAGUGGGGGAAAUGUAUGCAAACGGCGCAGAAAGCAUGCAUCCUGGAAACAGGAGCUGAACUGCGCCAAGACUCCAGACUCAUGGUCAGUUUCAGCGAAUCAAGUCCAGGGGCCUUGCAGUGAUGAACAUAGACGUUUGGAGCCCCCAGCAUUGCUCUUCUGUGUUUAAAGCUGGAAGAUGAUCAGGGAGUCAGAAGAACAGCUGAAAACAAAGACACCACUGGGGGAGAAAGAGGAAAAGAACCAGGCCUUAAAGAUGAUGGGGAAAAAGGAAAGUAUUGGACUAGGAAUGCGAACUCAUGUCCUGUCUUGGCUUCUCCAGUGUAGCUGCCAUUUCCUUCCCGUAUCUCGAUCUUGAGCAGCAUAAGGAAUCACGGAGGUUUUAUGUCCACUUCAUUAUUUCACUAAGGAGCAAGCGGAGCCUGGAGGGGAGGUGGCCCAGUGGAGACCCAGCCUCUGGCAGAUCCAGUGUGGUCUCCCUCCCUUCUUCCUGAUUGUCUGUAUUUAUCAAUUGUCAUGAAAUGUAUUCUCAACCCAAUGGGAACAAUUAAUCUACUGACAGAAAUAUGUCCUAAGGAAUAUUCUCUUUCAUCCUGCCUGGAGAGGAACUUGAUAAUGAAUAUACAAAGUAGUGUCUGGCUUUUAGUAAAGAACCUUAAAAACAAAACAAACAUUUUAAAGGAGUUCCCUGGUGGCUCCGUGAGUUAAGGAUCCAGCAUUGUCAACGCUGUGGCUCAGGUCACUGCUGUGGUAUGGGUUCGAUCUCUGGCCUGGGAACUUCUGUAUGCUGCUGGUGCAGCCAAAAAAAAAGUUCUUUUUAAAUCUCUGUGUCAGCAACAAAAAUAUCUUUGUUAGGCAGGUUCUAGUAGAAGAAACACAAACACUAAGGAACUCAAGCUUAUUUUUUUCUCAUUUAUAUAAAUAGACUUUUGGAUAAAAAGGCAAAGGACAUGAACUUUCUAUUAAAAAUCAUCUGUUCAAAGCUGUUAAUUACAGUAAAAAUUUUGUUCUCGGACAAGGGUGACACUCAUACAGAAUAAAUAUGUCUAUAAAAGAUUUACAUGUAUGAAAUAUAUAUAGUUCUUUUAUAUAAAUGUGAUGUAUAUUGAGCCUAUAAAAGUCUAGAAAUAAAUAUAAAAGCAUAAGCAUGGCCAAAAAUAAUAGCGAUGAGUGGCCUAAAGUUCUAGAACUUCUGCUGGAAGCCACUUUCCGGUAAAACAGAGCCUCUGAUAAAGUCUCACCUUGUCUUGGUGAGCAUGUCAUCUCCAGAUGCUGACCAAUCGGAAAUAAUUGUUCAAAGUGAAAGCUGAGGAUUCCUGGGGGAAAGUGAAUCCCAGCAGGGCUGAUGUGCUGGGGCCGGAGUUGAGUCUUCGGGGUAACACGUCAGAGAAACCGGCCAGAUGAAGCCCAACGCCUGAGGGAAGGGAGUUAGACUCAAAAGCAGUUCACGGAACCCGUGGGGGGAGCGCAUCGGGCCUCACAGCGACCCUGAACCAGGACUAGGAUCUUUUAGGUCCAAGGUCAUGCUCCCCAUUGCUCUGCUACCUGGUUUCCCAUCUCUUCGGCCUCGGGUUUUUCCAAAUGCCAAGAAUGCGGGUGUUUGGCGUUCCUGUUGUGGCUUAGCGGGUUAUAAAUCCAACUAGUAUCCAUGAGGGCUUGGGUUCGAUCCCUGGCCAUGCUCAGUGGAUUAAG